rfam:Triticum urartu cultivar G1812 contig582369, whole genome shotgun sequence.
AAAGUACUCCCUCCGUCCCAAAAUUUUUGUCUUGAAUUUGUCUAGAUACGGAUGUAUGAAGUCAAAUUUUAGUAUUAGAUACAUCCAUAUCUAGACAAAUCUAAGACAAGAAAUUUGGGACAGAGGGAGUAGUUG